rnacentral:rRNA from 1 species
GCGGGACUACCCGCUGAGUUUUAAGCAUA